GUGGGGAAUAUUAGGCAAUGGGCGAAAGCCUGACCUAGCAACGCCGCGUGAAGGAAGAAGGCCUUCGGGUUGUAAACUUCUUUUAUGAGGGACGAAGGACGUGACGGUACCUCAUGAAUAAGCCACGGCUAACUACGUGCCAGCAGCCGCGGUAAUACGUAGGUGGCGAGCGUUGUCCGGAUUUACUGGGUGUAAAGGGCGCGUAGGCGGACUAGCAAGUCAGAUGUGAAAUACAGGGGCUCAACCCCUGAACUGCAUUUGAAACUGUUGGUCUUGAGUAUCGGAGAGGCAAGCGGAAUUCCUAGUGUAGCGGUGAAAUGCGUAGAUAUUAGGAGGAACACCAGUGGCGAAGGCGGCUUGCUGGACGACAACUGACGCUGAGGCGCGAAAGCGUGGGGAGCAAACAGGAUUAGAUACCCGGGUAGUCC
rnacentral:rRNA from 1 species